rnacentral:rRNA from 1 species
UACGGGGGGAGCAAGCGUUGUUCGGAUUUACUGGGCGUAAAGGGCGCGUAGGCGGUCUGUCGCGUCGGCUGUGAAAACCCGAGGCUCAACCUCGGGCCUGCAGUCGAUACGGGCAAACUAGAGUACUGCAGGGGAGACUGGAAUUCCUGGUGUAGCGGUGAAAUGCGCAGAUAUCAGGAGGAACACCGGUGGCGAAGGCGGGUCUCUGGGCAGUAACUGACGCUGAGGAGCGAAAGCGUGGGGAGCGAACAGG